rnacentral:misc_RNA from 1 species
AAGUCGUAACAAGGUAACCGUAGGUGAACCUGCGGUUGGAUCAUUAAUAAAUUGAUCAGGCUAGGACCAAUCUCUGGUUCCCGGCCGGUGUUUUCUGCCUGCCAAAAGCGGGCAGCAAAACUCCAACUCAACUGUGAACUGUUUUAUGUCUCUGGCGGUGGGGUUUUGGGGGGGGAGGUCAGCCUCCGCUACUCAAAGCCUGUCAGCAUUGUGGAGGAAGCUGUCAAAAGGUUUCUGCCGCGAUGCCGUGGACAAGCCGUCAACCAUUUUCUCCAACAAACUCUUGUGUUUAGUUUUGUCUCACCUGUUUGUAUUUUUGUAUAAAUAUACUAAAAACAACUUUUGGCAACGGAUCUCUUGGCUCUC